CCUGCCGGACCUGACUGCUAUCGGAUUAAUACUAAGCCAUGCGAGUUUUUGUAGUAAUACAAGGCAUACGGCUCAGUAACACGUAGUCAACCUACCCUAUGGACGAGGAUAAUCUCGGGAAACUGAGCAUAAUACUCGAUAGAUCAUAAUGCCUGGAAUGGUUUAUGGUUGAAAUGAUUCGUUCGCCAUAGGAUGGGACUGCGGCCUAUCAGCUUGUUGGUGGGGUAAUGGCCCACCAAGGCGAUUACAGGUACGGGCUCUGAGAGGAGAAGCCCGGAGAUGGGUACUGAGACACGGACCCAGGCCCUAUGGGGCGCAGCAGGCGAGAAAACUUUGCAAUGUGCGAAAGCACGACAAGGUUAGUCCGAGUGAUUUCUGCUAAAGAAAUCUUUUGCAAGUCGUAAAACCACUAGUGAAUAAGGGGUGGGCAAGUUCUGGUGUCAGCCGCCGCGGUAAAACCAGCACCUCAAGUGGUCAGGAGGAUUAUUGGGCCUAAAGCAUCCGUAGCCGGCUUUGUUAGUUUUCGGUUAAAUCCAUGCGCUCAACGUAUGGGCUGCCGAGAAUACUGCAUAGCUAGGGAGUGGGAGAGGUAGACGGUACUCGGUAGGAAGGGGUAAAAUCCUUUGAUCUAUCGAUGACCACCUGUGGCGAAGGCGGUCUACCAGAACACGUUCGACGGUGAGGGAUGGAAGCUGGGGGAGCAAACCGGAUUAGAUACCCGGGUAGUCCCAGCUGUAAACGAUGCAGACUCGAUAAUGCAUUGGCACAUAGCCAGUGCAGUGUCGCAGGAAAGCCGUUAAGUCUGCCGCCUGGGAAGUACGUACGCAAGUAUGAAACUUAAAGGAA
rnacentral:rRNA from 2 species